CCUACGGGAGGCAGCAGUGAGGAAUAUUGGUCAAUGGACGAGAGUCUGAACCAGCCAAGUAGCGUGAAGGAUGACUGCCCUAUGGGUUGUAAACUUCUUUUAUAUGGGAAUAAAAUGUUCCACGUGUGGGAUUUUGUAUGUACCAUAUGAAUAAGGAUCGGCUAACUUCGUGCCAGCAGCCGCGGUAAGACGGAGGAUCCGAGCGUUAUCCGGAUUGAUUGGGUUUAAAGGGAGCGUAGGUGGAUUGUUAAGUCAGUUGUGAAAGUUUGCGGCUCAACCGUAAAAUUGCAGUUGAAACUGGCAGUCUUGAGUACAGUAGAGGUGGGCGGAAUUCGUGGUGUAGCGGUGAAAUGCUUAGAUAUCACGAAGAACUCCGAUUGCGAAGGCAGCUCACUGGACUGCAACUGACACUGAGGCUCGAAAGUGUGGGUAUCAAACAGGAUUAGAUACCCUUGUAGUC
rnacentral:rRNA from 1 species